CGGAAUUACUGGGCGUAAAGCGCACGCAGGCGGUCUGUCAAGUCGGAUGUGAAAUCCCCGGGCUCAACCUGGGAACUGCAUUCGAAACUGGCAGGCUUGAGUCUUGUAGAGGGGGGUAGAAUUCCAGGUGUAGCGGUGAAAUGCGUAGAGAUCUGGAGGAAUACCGGUGGCGAAGGCGGCCCCCUGGACAAAGACUGACGCUCAGGUGCGAAAGCGUGGGGAGCAAACAGGAUUAGAUACCCUGGUAGUCCACGCCGUAAACGAUGUCUACUUGGAGGUUGUGCCCUUGAGGCGUGGCUUCCGGAGCUAACGCGUUAAGUAGACCGCCUGGGGAGUACGGCCGCAAGGUUAAAACUCAAAUGAAUUGACGGGGGCCCGCACAAGCGGUGGAGCAUGUGGUUUAAUUCGAUGCAACGCGAAGAACCUUACCUGGUCUUGACAUCCACGGAAGUUUUCAGAGAUGAGAAUGUGCCUUCGGGAACCGUGAGACAGGUGCUGCAU
rnacentral:rRNA from 1 species